GAUGAACGCUGGCGGCGUGCCUAAUACAUGCAAGUCGAGCGAACAGAUGAGGAGCUUGCUCCUCUGACGUUAGCGGCGGACGGGUGAGUAACGCGUGGAUAACCUACCUAUAAGACUGGGAUAACUUCGGGAAACCGGAGCUAAUACCGGAUAAUAUAUUGAACCGCAUGGUUCAAUAGUGAAAGACGGUUUUGCUGUCACUUAUAGAUGGAUCCGCGCCGCAUUAGCUAGUUGGUAAGGUAACGGCUUACCAAGGCAACGAUGCGUAGCCGACCUGAGAGGGUGAUCGGCCACACUGGGACUGAGACACGGUCCAGACUCCUACGGGAGGCAGCAGUAGGGAAUCUUCCGCAAUGGGCGAAAGCCUGACGGAGCAACGCCGCGUGUGUGAUGAAGGUCUUCGGAUCGUAAAACUCUGUUAUUAGGGAAGAACAAAUGUGUAAGUAACUAUGCACGUCUUGACGGUACCUAAUCAGAAAGCCACGGCUAACUACGUG
rnacentral:rRNA from 1 species